CCUACGGGAGGCAGCAGUAGGGAAUCUUUCACAAUGGGCGAAAGCCUGAUGGAGCAACGCCGCGUGCAGGAUGAAGGCCUUCGGGUUGUAAACUGCUUUUAUAAGCGAGAAAUAUGAUGGUAACUUAUGAAUAAGGAUCGGCUAACUACGUGCCAGCAGCCGCGGUCAUACGUAGGAUCCGAGCAUUAUCCGGAGUGACUGGGUGUAAAGAGUUGCGUAGGUGGCAUAAUAAGUAGCUAGUGAAAUCUGGUGGCUCGACCAUUCAGACUAUUAGCUAAACUGUUAAGCUCGAGACCGUUAGGGGUAACUGGAAUUUCUAGUGUAGGAGUGAAAUCCGUAGAUAUUAGAAGGAACACCAAUAGCGUAGGCAGGUUGCUGGGACGGUUCUGACACUAAGGCACGAAAGCGUAGGGAGCAAACGGGAUUAGAUACCCGUGUAGUC
rnacentral:rRNA from 1 species